rnacentral:misc_RNA from 1 species
UACCUCGUGCUAAUGUUUACAUUUUCCUCUACAGAACUUUAAGUCGGUUACAUCUGGUUCAGCCAACGGUUGAAAACGUGCAAGUUGAAUCAUCAGUUGUCACUUAUGCAAAAAAUAUUGUAAAGGUAGUAGUUCUUCAAAAAUUAUUUUCGCGAAAUGCAUGGAAAAUGCCAUUAUUUGUUUUAUUUAUUAAUAUUUUGAUACAAUACAGACUAUAAUAAAUAUGCAAACCAUUUUAAGAAUCUUUCGUAGUGUUAGUUUUCCUGUAGUGAGUAGAACUGCAAUCCCCAAAUCCCGCUUGCACUUUAGAACUACCUCUGCAUGCUUCUUAAGUAGAUCUCACUCUUUCACACCCAAACGCCGUCAUGACUGCAUUUUACCGGACUGUGUUUGGCCUUCUAACCUACCCCCUGCUACUGAAUGGGGUUAUGGUAAAAUAGGACCGGAUACCUGGCCUUCGAAAUAUCCCGAUGCUGGCGGAAAAAAGCAGUCGCCUGUCGACAUCGUGACAUCAUCUGUCCUGCCCAAGGAAUUCGACCAGCCUUUAAGAUGGAAAUACGGCUCGGAAAAUUCAACGUCUAUAGUUAACACAGGGUGCGGCUGGCGUGUUGACGUUCACGGUAGUGAUUCUGAAUUAUGUGGAGGUCCACUAUUGCAUACGUACGAAUUAGUGCAAUUUCAUUGUCACUGGGGCAGUUCCUAUUCAUGUGGAUCAGAACACACCAUUGAUGGGAAAUCUUAUGCCGGUGAACUGCAUUUUGUCCACUGGAAUAAAGAAACGUUCCCAACCUGUGCUGAUGCUAUUCCGUCUGCAGAAGGCCUUUCUGUUGUCGCUGUAUUUUUACAGGAAGGUGAAAUGAAUUCUGAAAUUGAAAAACUGUGUGAAGUGAUACCUAGUAUUCUAGAAAAAGACCAAAGAGUAAACCUUGAGAAUGAUAUCAAUCCAGAAUCUCUGUUUCCUUCAGAGCAUUCGUACUGGACAUAUAGUGGUUCUUUAACAACUCCUCCAUGUUAUGAAAGUGUGACAUGGAUAAUUUUCAAGAAUCCGAUAACUGUAUCAGCAGAGCAGCUGAAUUGUUUUAGGCAGAUGAAAAAUGCUCGUUGUGAUGUAAAUUCUGAAAGUUCUGGCCUGGUGGAACAUAAUUAUCGUCCUCCUCAAUCCUUAAAUGACAGAGUGAUAUUUGAGAGUGUCUGCUGAGAACCAGCCCCAGAGUACAAAUCUUUAAGAACAUAUCUGCAUUAGUACAUCUGAAAUGUAUAUUAGUAAUUAAUAUAUAUUUGUCAUUGUGAACUUAACAGUCAUAUGUAAUUUUUGAUCUAAAUUUUAGAAAAUAAAUCAAUUUUGGUUAAUAAUUUGUGUAUUAGAAAAUAGAUUUAAAAUAUUUUCUUAUUUCCAUGUUGCAUCAAAAUAUUUCUAACAUAUUAAACUGCAUUAUACCAUCUGCAUUUUAAAGUAAAUAAAUUUUGAUAUGAAGCUUUCGAAAUGGCGAAUAAUUAAGGUUUCAUUUUAGUGAUAUUUAUAAUGACUACAGAAUUUCACUGGAACUGAUAUGAAUCUAUUAUUUUUAAAAAUCAUCAGAAAAAUUGUUAAUUCUAAAGGAAAGAUGAAUCAUCAAAAUAGAUACAGGUAGAAAAGUUACUAGAUGCAUUUGAAUCCUUCCCUAAGGAAUAUCAAAUUUAAGCUUGAUAUUGUUAUGAAUUUUUCUUGGUAAAUUUUCUUAAAGGAAAGUACCAUGACUUUGCUUGUAAUUGAGUUAACGUUUUUAGUAUUUGAAUUUUCUGUCUUAAAAGGGUCAGUUUUCUUCUACAUAUGGAUGCAUAUUAAUUUUAAAAGUGCUGAGGGAGAAUUAAAUAUUUUUUUUAAACCUACUUUCACACUGUACUUGCAUAGUUUUAAUGCAUGCUGUCAUUAUAGUCUUUUGAUUCCUAUAUAGUUUUAAUCAACGUCACCAAAUAUUAAAUAUGUGUGCAUUAAUUAUUAUUAUGAUUAUUUUUAUUUUUAUUUUUAUUUAAUUUUUUUACUAUGUCAUUCAUUUUUCUUGCAUUCAUAGCAGAAAACUUGAUUAAAUGUCUAUUAGUCAAAAAUAUAUAUGCAUAUAUCAAUUUUAUCACAAAAUUCAUAUGGCUAUGCUGUAGUACACAGUUGUACUCAGAAUUAUUCUGAAUAAUAAUGGGUUUAAAAUAAUUAUUUAUUUCCUUUUUGUAGUAUACAUAAAAUCCUUUAAUAUCCCUUAUAGUUUCAUAGCAUAAUAAUACUAGUAUCCAAUAGUUAAAAAUUUAUCUUCAUAAAGUUAAGUUUAUUAUGUUGACUAUCAGUCUGAUAUAUGCACAUUAUGUAAAAUUUUAACAUCUUGGGCUGAUUUCGCUCCUGUGGUUUUUGUCAGACACAAAAAUUGGUUCGAGGUUACUGCCAGUUGACAAGGCCAAUAUUGUAAAAAUUAUAUGUAGGAAAGCUUUUUGGAUGGAUAAUUGAUAGUUACUGUUUGCUUAGUACCUUUAUAAUUAUCACUAAAUAAAUAUUCCACCAAAAUUUAGCCAACUUUUAUCUGGAAUUUUCAAAAUACAUGUUAAUGUUUGUUAAUUUUCAUUAUUAUUAUGAAUUAGAGUUUUGGCAUGUAUUGGACAUAAUCAGGGUGCUUUUGUAAUAAUAAGCGAGUAUAAAUGAUGUUUAUAAUAAAUUAAUAUAUAGUCAAUAAUUAAUUAAAAGCUUUAUUAUAUUUAACAAAUAGAUGAUAACAUAGAGGAUGUUAAUAAUAAAUUAAAAUUAAUCUAUGGACAAUAAUUAAUUAAAAAAACCUUUAUUAUACUUAAUGACACAAUAUAGGUGAUGUUUAUAAUAAGUUAAAAUUAAUCUAUGGUCUACAAUUAAAUAAAAACCUUUAUAUGUUUUACAACAUGAUUACCAGUCUACAGACAUACUGUAGGUGUUACUACAGACAUACUAUGGGUGUUCUAAUCUUAUCAGUGAAGUGAAGAGCUUUUAAAUUCUAUGAUAGGGGGCAUUGUAUGGGACAAUAUUCUUUCUUAACAGAUAUAAAUGCAUGUAACCAGUAGUGUACAUUUAAGUCAAAUGCAUCCUAAUAUGGCCAGUUUGUUAUACUGUUCAGAACUUUUUAUAUUUAUUAAUGUGUUUCUUAAUGAGUAUGUAUGUACAUAUAUAAUUAUGUAAACAGUUAUGUAAUUUUUGACUUUUUACAAAGUAUUUAUAUAUUUUUGUCUGAUAAUUGAAUGAACAGUCCUAUAAUUAAUUUAAUAGUUUUCUAUAUUUUUAUGAGUAAUUGCGUAGAAUGCUGUUGAAAUGUUGCAUAAUUAUCCUGUAUUAUAAAUUGUAUACUGAUGCUUAAGUAUUUGGAUUUGUUGUUCUCGCAUUUGCAAUGUUAUAACUUUAAUGCAUAUAAUGGAACAAUAAUUAAACUGUACGAUUAAUGUGAAAUGAUGACUAGUUACUACAUUUUAUGUCUUAAUUACUUUAUUUACAUUUUAUGCCUUAAUUGCUUUAAUUUAUUAAAUGCAAAUUAGUAUAUAUAAAAUGAAAAGUAAAUUUAAAAUUUAUUUUCCAGUGUAUUAAAACUUAUUGGUUAUUGUUGUUAUUUUUAUUUUAUUUCAACUUUUUAAUAUGUACAUAUGUCUAAUUUAAUCAAUAUUAUACAUAUUGAUUAGUUUUGCUGUUUUAGUGCAAAUUGUUCUUUAAUUGAAAAUGUACUUAUAAAGUUAUCUUAUAUACUUAUAUAUAUUCUUUUGCAGUGUUUCCCAAGUUAAUGAAGGGCACAAUGCAUCUUAAUUAAUGUUAAUGUAACCUCCAUAAAAAGUUUUAGAAAAACAUUAUUUUAUUGAGACUUCAAAGAAUAAGAAUGCAUAAUUUUGAAAUUAAUUCUUAAAAGUAAAAUAGUAUAUCAAUUUCAAAACGCAGUAUUCCAAAAAUUUAUUCAUUUAUAAUCGCUGUAUUGUUUUCAGUACUUUAGUCAACAAAGGCAAUUCUAACUUUAGGUAUUGGACAAAAUCUAUCUUUUUUAUGAUUAUUCAAGCUUACAUUAUGUUUCAAACUAAGGUAUUUUAUAAUAUUUAGUUUAAAUUCUGUAUGAAUUUCUUUUUAAUUUUUAUUAUGUUCUGUUUGUUCUUAAUUCAUAAACACAAUUCAUUGCUGAAGGAAAUAUAAAUUAAUUAAUGCAAAGUGGGAUUAAGCAUAGAUAAAUACACUGUAUCCACAACAGUUACCUGGCCUUUAUUUUUGCAAUUGCUGGUUGUGGACAUAUACUUCUAAUCACAAAAUUGUUUUAAAUUAUGUGCAAAGAUUUGCAUUUUUGUAUUUUUUAAUUUAAAAAAAAAAAUAUGUGCUUUAUAGAAAAUUAACUCUUUAUACAUUCUUCCAGUCUCUUUUAUAUUUAGGAAACUUUUGUACUUAUUAUGAAAAGGAAAACACAGGUAAUUCUUCAUUUAAAAAUAGUGGAGUAAAAUUAUGCCUUGCUUGUUCAUUUCUUUUUAAAUUAUAAAAACAUUCUAUUAUCUGUGUGAAAUAUUAACAUUCUACAAUGCAUUAGCUUGGAGAAACACUUCUAUACUAAUUCAAAUCUGUUUCUAUUUGAAAUUGUUAUCAACUGUUUAUUUCCUUUGUUGGUAUCUCAGUAUAUGUCACUGGUCUGUUCUAGAUAUAUUAAACAAACUUUUUGGAUAAGGAAAAGGAGGAAAAUUAUUAUUAUAAAAAUCCUUUUGUUAUUGUUAUAAUACUGUUUAGUAUUAAAAGGCAGACAUGGUGUUUGAAAUGUGUACUGUACAUAAAUGAAGCAUUCAGAUCUUGGAUUAAGACUUUUAGAGGCCAUAAACACUUAAAAGAUUUUGGUAUCCUCUCAUAUAUUUAGUCUUGUUUUCCCCCCAUUUAUUCUUUCUCUAUUUUGGUUUUGCAGCACAUUCUAUCAUAAAACUGGCAGUGGAAAUUUUUUGUGGUGUCCCUUUCCUUGAGUUCCUAAGGACCUUUUUUGUAAUUGCUUCUUUCCGUGGUGCACAAGCACAUGCUUAUUUUGCUUAGUUGUUAAUCCAGCUCUGGAUGCACUGCUCAUGUUACUGUACAUAAGUGUUUUCUAUUGUCCAAAUUAAAAUCAGUUUUUCAGUGUUUUCUGAGGAAUCCUAUUUUUUGUUGGUGAUCGAUUUCACCAUCCUUCACAACGUUAGCCAAUUUAAUUGCUUCGUUGUUUUUUUACGGUUGUAAACACCAUUGUACUCGGCAUACGAUAUGCAGUAACCAAGUACCAGAUAUACAUGCCAUUUUCAUAUUUUUCAACAAUCUUUUUUUUUAACCUUCAUAGUGAUUUUAACCAUUUUCUUUGCUACUUGACUGUGCUCAUUAACUUUCUUAAAACUCAUUACUAAGGAAUUUAUGAAAAUUAUAUGGGAAAAAAAAACACAAAAAUGUCUUGAAAAUGCAGAAAUAUCGUGUGGUUAUUUACUAAAUAGUAGAAACAGGCAUACUUAUGUUCAUGGGCAGUCGUAAUAUCGUUUCAAAAAAGGUAAAUAAGUGUAGUUCUUGCAGUUAUGGCUCAUUGAACUCAAGCCUUAUUCCAAACAAAAGUUUCCACACCCAAACAGGACGUAUACCAAAUUGGAUGUAUUUAUUAGUGGACAUAUACCGAGGUACCACUGCGUGUUGUUCAUAAGCUGUACUUUUUUAUUUAGCGGUUCAUAGAAAACGGUAAAAUAUGUAUUUUUAUAUGAUAUAUCUAUUAUAUUGUGUAACUGAUUUUAUAUUUUUAUUAUACUGUAUAUAUUAAUCUAUGCAAAAAUUUGUACAAACAAGCUAAGUGUAAAAAAGCUUUUUCAUUUUUUUAGAUUCAUGAAAUUUUUGUGCAUGCUUUUAAAGCAUGUGUUCUAUGCAGCAUGUAACUGUAUUUAAAAUGUCUUUCUUUCAGCUUGCUGAGAAUAUUUUACUAAUUGUUGGUUUUAAAUAUUUUUUGUAACUAUUGCCUCCUAGGAAUUUUACAAUUUAACUAAAAUUUCUUCUCAAUAAUGUUUUUCUUAGAACUUGUAGUAAAUAUAAUGUUUAGUUUUUAAUGCACAAAACUAUAAUUUUCCUGUACAAUAAUUGGAUUUAAUUGUGCUAAAGUUAUUGAGCAUUUAACUGUGAUUGAGUUUUUAUAUUCUCAGUGCAUCAAAAUGUUCAUUUAUCGUAAUAAGGGGUCUUUAAUAUAGAGAAUAUGAAAUGUGAUUAGAAAAAUAUUUCAAAGAAAUAUGUGUCAUACCGUUUAUUAAUAAGAACAGGAUAUCGGAUUUCUUAUUCAUGUUAUAGGUAUUUGAUGCAGUUCUAAACGCAUAAUAUUAAUCACAUGUGAUUUUCAUAUCUAUAAAAUUCGUUGCGAAAUCUUCAUUACUCAAUUCAGUUAUGUAGCAUAUUUUAAAUUGUAUCUUAAUUAAUGUAAUUUAGUAAAAAGUACACAUUCAUUAUUAGAUUAUGAACAUAGAUACCAAAAUAUGUUUUCAUUAUACACUAACAAAACUAAAUGGAAAUACUUGCAUAACAAACAGUUGUAUAAAUUAGUUUCAACCAUAAAAAAAUUGAACUUAAAAAAAAAAAAAAUCUCUUCUGCUAUGAACAUUAUACAAGUGUACUUAAUUUUGAAUACAGUAGUAAUCUUUCGUUAAAUGUUUGAAUGUCACCUCAGAAAUGCUAUAGAAUGUUUAAAAAUCUAGUAUAUGUAUUGUAUAGAAUGUGUAAUAUGUUAUCGAUAACAUUUCUAAGAAACUCAAGAUUACGGAGAGUUUUUUAAAAUCUAUUCAGAGUGAUAUCGCAUGGUCACAAUUCACUGUUUCCAUCAAUAUUCCACUCCAGUUAACACAUCAAAGAAAAUGAUUUUUAAUGACGACAUCAUUCUUUUCUUCUAUAGCGCUACACAAUCACUACUCUAGCACAAACCAAGACAUUUGCUGAAGGGGUCAUGUCUGUACUAUGCACAGAACUUUCUUGCUAGACAAGACAACUGCAUUAUAUUACUAAAAUGUGAAAUCGGAAUCGACAUCCUCAAAUAUGUAAAUGUUACUGUACAACUGUGGUCUUCAGGCUGUGAACUUUGAGUUUCCUAACAACUCCUCCUCUAGGGCUUCCACAGGUCAAAUCCAAACUUAGAAAAUUGUGAUACUGCUUGGAUCUCAAAUCUAAAAUGAUAAGUUAAAUAAUAUUUUUUAUUUCUAUUGUUGUUAGCUAAAAUGAAUGAUUUUCAUUUUAGCUAACAACUAAAUUAUGCUAAAUGAUUUUCAUUUCAAUUUUCAUAGAAAGUGUAUUAAAUUUUAAUGUAUUUUCGGUGCUUAUUUAAUAUUUAUUUUUCUAAGGAUGGUAGGGGCAGUGGCGGACCUACAACUAUUAAGGCCCGGGGCAGAAAUCUUCCUGGGGCCCUCCUUAUUGAAAUGAUUACCAUACGUAUGUCAACAUAAACAUAUAAUUUAUUUAACUAUAAUUAAACAGAUAAAAUGAUUUGGAAAGCAAGAAAUCUUAAAGACUUAAAGCAAAAACAACAUGCAUCGAGCAGACAAACAUAUAUUUAAAAAAGCUUAUUAAUCUGCCAUUUUUUAUGUUUUAAAAAAAUGCUGCUCUGUCAAUCAAAAAAAAAAGUUAAAACUGUUUUUUGCACGCUUAGACUUCUGAAAAUUUUUUAUAGCUUUAUCAAAAUUGAUGGUUUUAGCAACUGGCUUUUAGCUCAAUGGAAAAGACUUCCAAACCAUAAGUCUUACUUGGUUCAUUGUUGAUCAGAGGUUAUUUUUAAUCAAUUUUGGAAAGGUGCUCUCGCAAAAAGCAACUGAAACGUACACUGUUAAAAAAGUCUUUAAUACCAAAUAUAAGUUCAUUUCCACAAUAAACUUUAACAUUUUCAGAGCAAACCACUUUUUAGCUUCAUCCUUUCCACUUAUGCUAUUUGAAGAUAAUGUCUUAACCGUUUAAUUUCAUUUUGUUCUAUCUGAUGAAAAGUUUCCUUGAAAUUUGGAAAUCAGCUUUCGAAGUUACUAAUCAGUUUAGCGGCCCUAAUGACAGCUUCGUACAAAACCAUAUCGUAAUGAUGAAUCUUUUGAUAAUUUGCAACAGCGACUUUGUGAUUAAUUUGCUUUACAAAAUUUUAAGCUACUAGACUGCACAAGUAUAGAUUUUAACAAAAUGUUUAAAUUGUAUAUGUGUUAACGUGUAAAGACUGCUAAAUACCUUAUGGAGACAAGCACCUUAAAAUAUCCACAAAAUAUAACACAUUUUAAAGCUCAGAUCUUUAUGACUGGUUUAUGAGCAUGAAAUUUUGUUUACUGAUUUCGUACUCUUAUUAUAUUUGUAUACUUAUUUUACUUUAUUAAUAAUGUAUUUGCUACCUUUCUUUUAUGUCCCAAAUAUUAAAAUAUUUUAAAUACAUCCACAUAAUAAUAUUGUUAAUAUGUUUAUUUAAUUUGUAUAUUAUGCACUGCAUUAUAUAACAAGAUCAGCAUUUUUAUCUAAUUUUUUUAUUCAAAGUAGAAGAAUAAUGCUCAAUUACAAUGAUCUACAUUAAAAACAAUAGAAUUAUAUUUCUUAAAAAAUAAUAUUUUAUUUAUGUAUUUAUUUAUUUCUGUAACUCUAAAAUCAGAUAUUUUUAACAUAAUUAAUAAUUUCUAAAAUUUUAUGGCGAGAGGCACAAUAGUUGUCCUUUUAAACUCACUUAGGGUUUAUUAAGCUGGUAAUUUUAUUUUUUUUUAUUUUUUUUUUUUAUAAAUUCUGACCAAUGGUUUCGGAGAAAUGAUGCAUACAAGCAGGAAAAUUAGCAAGGCUGAUCGAUCGCUUCUGACAGGCUGUGUGAAAAUGUUACGCAUUCUCCAUAACUGGUUACACCUACUGGAAAAAUUUCGUGUUACUGUACGGAUGAUGAGCGCAAAUGUUACUUAUGCAGAGCUGCCAUGUGCGUAAUUGUCACGCCACUACAUAAUCAUCUUCCCAGAAUACGAAGUCCCUUUUUUAUAUUCCUGCAGAAAGGUAAAUAUUCCUUAGGUUCUUUGGAGGGCCCUUCCUGAUCAGAAGCCCAGGGCUGUCCGCCCCUUUCUGUACGCCACUGGGUAGGGGCUCCACCAGAAAAUGUAACAGUUAGGGGUUCUUUCGGCCUGAAAGCCACACCUUUAUAUGCUGAUGCAUUUACUUAAUUUAAUAUUUCUAGGGAUAUGUAAAUGUUCUUUGUAAUGAGAAAUCUAUCUGAGUUGUUCUAUAGUGUAAUAAUGAAGUUGAUGACACUGUAGUUUAUUUAUGCAAGAAUGCAGAUUGUAGAUAUUGUCAACGCAAAAUGGAAUUUAGAACUAAUUUAGAAAUGAAUCAACUGUCAGUAAAUAUUGAAUUGCAAAUAUAUAUAUAUAUAUAUAUACACAUGCACUCUGUUCUUGUCAUGUACAAUUUAGAUCACUAUAGUUUGAGAACUGGAGCUGAAAGAUUUUUCAAUUAAUAGUGAUUCACUAUUAAAAAGUGAGACAACAGACAACGAUCUCAUGAGGCAAUACUGUUGAUACUACUGUAAUAUAAUAUUUUAUUUAAUGUUUAUAAGUCUAUAUAUGUCUGAACUUUAUUAGUAGAAUAUAUGUCUGUUUAGUAUUGAAAUAUUUUGUGUUGCAUUUUGUAUGUUUUAAGGUAAAGGAUUUGUAGAACUGUUGUGCCAAACGAAGGCAGAACUUCCAAAUAAUGCAAAGUUUAUUUUUGUUAUGUUUUAGGAGAGCAUUUAUUGAAAGUUGCAAUAAAUUUAACUUUCAAGUGUG